GAUGAACGCUGGCGGCGUGCUUAAUACAUGCAAGUCGAACGGAGACAUUAGCAAUAAUGUUUUAGUGGCGAACGGGUGAGUAACGCGUUGGUGACCUGCCCCGAAGAGAGGGAUAACAGUUCGAAAGGAUUGCUAAUACCUCAUGUGGUCAUUGGGAUUAGAAUCUGAUGACUAAAGCAGUAAUGCGCUUCGGGAGGGGCCUGCGUCCCAUCAGCUAGUUGGUAGGGUAAUGGCCUACCAAGGCUACGACGGGUAGGGACCUGAGAGGGUGGUCCCCCA
rnacentral:rRNA from 1 species